GAAGCGUUGUCCGAUGCCACAGACCCAUCUUGACCCACAGCCAGCCGUUUGGCCCGUUUUUCGGCAGAAUCCAAUCGCUUUUUAUCAAUGAACCGCCGGUAACAAGUCAGGUGAAACCCAGCGUCAUCAGGAAUAUCGUUAUAUUCAACAUCGAUGCAGGAUUUGAAUGUCUCGGCUACUUGAGACUCGCCAUGACAGCAAAGCCACCGUUGUAAACAAUUCCUAGAUCAUCAUCAGGCGAUUCAAUGCUGGUAGGGAGAGGAAGAGGGAGAGGGAGAGGACAGAGAGGCAGUGGAUCGGUGGGAGCUAGGCGAGGAGGACGACGAGGAAGAGGAGAACGAGAGUCAAGAGAAGAUCUUGAUAGGAUUGAAGGUUUCCAAAGAGAGAAGAGAAGCGACAGAGAGAUUACUGUAGGAGACGAGCCUUGAUGAUCACAGACGCCUCGCAGCAGGAAUGUUGGAGAGGCAGCCGGGUCUGAUUUUUGAUCUGCUGCUGGAGCAUCAGCAAAGACAUGGUGCUCCUACAUCUGCGGAGGUACCGGGGUACCUUGGUGUACCCGUGGCAAGUGCAGAGACAUGCCGACGGACAGGGAGAGGAAAUGCUGUGGCCAAGACCCUGUCCACUGUGUGAGCCUCCUGCCCCAUUUCACACAGUACUGCCUGGAUGAAGGUUACCUGCGGAUCCAUAGGCAGAACCGGGAGAACCUCACUGCCUUAGGAAAUGUAAGGGAGCCCGGCGAUGACAACAGGGAAUACAGGCAUGCAGCUUACAGUCAUUAUUUUUUCUGGCAGCAUGGCGCAUUAGGACAGGGGAACCGGAGAGUGAUUCCCAGCUGCUGUGUUUGAAGAAUUAGGGACAAAUUCCCUGACCCUCAGGGACAAUACACAGGCUACAUUCCAGGGAUCUUAGAGAUUGGCCUGAGUAGCGUUGGAAAUAUUUGGAG
ensembl:lncRNA